rnacentral:ncRNA from 12 species
UGGAGCUGGUACUAAUAUACUAGCCUGUGCUUAAGUCCUCAGGAGUGGUACACUCGUUUUCAGCUUAGGAACACCACAGCUAGCACCACCGUUCCA